rnacentral:rRNA from 1 species
AGCAUAGAGUGGUCGCAGAGAAUAGGCCCAAGCAACUGUUUACCAAAAACACAAGUUUCUGCUAAAUCGAAAGAUGAAGUAUAGGAGCUGACACCUGCCCGGUGCUGGAAGGUUAAGGGGAAAUGUUAGAGCAAUCGAAGCAUAGAACUUAAGCCCCAGUAAACGGCGGCCGUAACUAUAACGGUCCUAAGGUAGCGAAAUUCCUUGUCGGGUAAGUUCCGACCCGCACGAAAGGUGUAAUGAUUUGGGCACUGUCUCAACAAAGGAUCCGGUGAAAUUGUAGUAGUCGUGAAGAUGCGACUUACCCACGAUAGGACGGAAAGACCCCGUGGAGCUUUACUGUAGGCUGGCAUUGGAAUUUGGUAUUAAAUGUACAGGAUAGGUGGGAGACUAAGAAGCGAGAGCGUCAGUUUUCGUGGAGUCGUUGUUGGGAUACCACCCUUUUGAUACUAAAUUUCUAACCUGGUACUCUGAAUCGAGUACAGGGACACUGUCAGUUGGGCAGUUUGACUGGGGCGGUCGCCUCCUAAAGAGUAACGGAGGCGUUCAAAGGUUCCCUCAGAAUGGAUGGAAAUCAUUCUAAGAGUGCAAAGGCAAAAGGGAGCUUAACUGCGACACCAACAAGUGGAGCAGAUAGGAAACUAGGACUUAGUGAUCCGGUGGUACCGAGUGGAAGGGCCAUCGCUCAACGGAUAAAAGCUACCCCGGGGAUAACAGGCUUAUCUCCCCCAAGAGUUCACAUCGACGGGGAGGUUUGGCACCUCGAUGUCGGCUCGUCUCAUCCUGGGGCUGGAGUAGGUCCCAAGGGUUGGGCUGUUCGCCCAUUAAAGAGGCACGCGAGCUGGGUUCAGAACGUCGUGAGACAGUUCGGUCCCUAUCCAUCGUGGGCGUAGGAAAUUUGAGAGGAGCUGUCCUUAGUACGAGAGGACCGGGAUGGACAGACCGCUGGUGUAUCAGUUAUCAUGCCAAUGGUAAUGCUGAAUAGCUAAGUCUGGAAGGGAUAAGUGCUGAAGGCAUCUAAGCACGAAGCCCCCCUCAAGAUGAGAUUUCCUGUUGUAGAAAUACAAGAGAGAUUCGAUACAGAAAAUGUCGUAGAUAGGUCAGAGGUGUAAAGGUGGCAACAUCAAAGCUAACUGAUACUAAUAAAUCGAAAGCUUGACCAG